CCUCAGCAGCCCCGCCGCCAGCCCAGCUCCUCCCGGGCCGGGCGGGGCGGGCAGGCCGCGCUCCCCAAGGGCGCUGAGCAGGCGGGCGGCCGCGGUGAGCGGGAAUGGAGCCCAGAGCGCCUUCAAAUGGCUGAAACACGCGCAGAGAAACAAACGCGGCGGGGAACAGCCACCGCCGAGGAGCACUCACGAACUGGCCUCUUCAAGUGGUAACAGUGACAAGAAACAGAGCAAGGAAUCCGAGAAAGAUUUACCAACUCUUAUCAGUGCUAUCAGGGAGUGUGAACCAAUAGGAUAAAACUACAGGAAGAAAUAAAAUACCUAAUUUACAGAAUGUCCUGCAGACAAGUCAGAAGUUAAAACCAAACAAGAGCUCCUAGAACAUGAAAAACUCAAAGGAAUGUUUAAAUAAUGUAUAAGCUAAUGAAUAUGCAGCAAUAUAACUUAUAUCGCGAACAUGAUUUUAAGCUACCUCCAUGCUUUUUGGUUGUUCGCCAAAAGCACCCCAGUGCAGGAUUAGUUGUUUGUCCUUCUUUUAUCCUUUAAUAAAAUUUUUUAAAUUCUAA